rnacentral:rRNA from 2 species
GUCGAGCGGACAGAUGGGAGCUUGCUCCCUGAUGUUAGCGGCGGACGGGUGAGUAACACGUGGGUAACCUGCCUGUAAGACUGGGAUAACUCCGGGAAACCGGGGCUAAUACCGGAUGGUUGUUUGAACCGCAUGGUUCAAACAUAAAAGGUGGCUUCGGCUACCACUUACAGAUGGACCCGCGGCGCAUUAGCUAGUUGGUGAGGUAACGGCUCACCAAGGCAACGAUGCGUAGCCGACCUGAGAGGGUGAUCGGCCACACUGGGACUGAGACACGGCCCAGACUCCUACGGGAGGCAGCAGUAGGGAAUCUUCCGCAAUGGACGAAAGUCUGACGGAGCAACGCCGCGUGAGUGAUGAAGGUUUUCGGAUCGUAAAGCUCUGUUGUUAGGGAAGAACAAGUACCGUUCGAAUAGGGCGGUACCUUGACGGUACCUAACCAGAAAGCCACGGCUAACUACGUGCCAGCAGCCGCGGUAAUACGUAGGUGGCAAGCGUUGUCCGGAAUUAUUGGGCGUAAAGGGCUCGCAGGCGGUUUCUUAAGUCUGAUGUGAAAGCCCCCGGCUCAACCGGGGAGGGUCAUUGGAAACUGGGGAACUUGAGUGCAGAAGAGGAGAGUGGAAUUCCACGUGUAGCGGUGAAAUGCGUAGAGAUGUGGAGGAACACCAGUGGCGAAGGCGACUCUCUGGUCUGUAACUGACGCUGAGGAGCGAAAGCGUGGGGAGCGAACAGGAUUAGA